CACGGUCAAAUGUAGUAACAGAAGGCGAACGGCUUUUCAGGUGAAAGACGACCGAUGUAAAAGGAGUUGUACUUCCUUGGGUUUCAAUCCCUAAAACUGCCCUUUGAUGCCCUUACACGGACGCUUCUUGCAUGGUGGGUGAAUGUGUCAUAGCCCAUUUCAUGUGUAAGGACAAAGCAGAUUAGAUGGCACCCUACAACGCAUUUGUACGAGGGGCGAAUACUUUUAUUAUGACAA
rnacentral:ncRNA from 1 species